CCACCCCUAUCCAAAGGUCCAUACUUUUCCAACAAAUCAAACAAUCUAAAACCAACCCAUCAUCUUCCUCAUAAACCCCAUCUCAAACUCCUUCUCUCCGAUCACAAUUCCAAAAACCUAAAUCAAAGCAAAAAUGAUGCACAUGACCUUUUACUGGGGUAACAAAGUGACCCUUUUGUUUGAUUUUUGGAAAACCGAUUCUUGGCUAAGCUAUGCCCUCGCUUUACUCGCUUGUUUCAUCGUCUCCGUUUUUUACCAGUACAUGGAAGAUCGCCGUCAGCGAUUCAAGAUUCUGUCUUCAAAUUCCAAGAAAAACUACCCUCCCCCGUCGUCCAACGCCGCCGUGAAUACCCCUCUUCUUUACUCUUUCCCGACCGUCGGCGGUGUGUGGAAUUCGGCGAGAUUCGCGACGGCGAUUCUAUUUGGUAUUAAUUCGGCGAUUGGGUAUAUGCUUAUGUUGGCUAUUAUGUCAUUUAACGGCGGCGUUUUUGUUGCCGUCGUUUUGGGUCUGUCGAUCGGAUAUUUGCUUUUUAGGACCGGUGAAGAGGAUGUUCUGGUCGUUGAUAAUCCAUGUGCCUGUGCUUGAAAUUUUCUGCAUAUUAAUGUUACUUGUAAUGGGUUUGGUUCUUGUUUUACCAAUAGAAAUUAUAUGGAAAAAUGAUAGUAAUUAAGUUUUUCUUUUUUUUUUUUGGUUUUUA
rnacentral:lncRNA from 1 species